CAGGRCCCAGGCUUCUACCACUGGGGGAUUUGAAGACUGAAGWCCUGUGUCACAGCAGAGUUCUGCUGGGGACAGUGGAGAGUGUGUCCGUGAAGAUGAACGAGCGGUCCAUCGUGAUGGUAAACGCCUGGUCUUUGCUGGCCUCACGUGGCCAWGUCAACGCCCUGCCUUCSCCUCACUACGUCACAUUACCCGACCACUGCAGCKCCCCUGAACUGGUGCCRGGCAACACUUACAUCUGGGUGRAAAUGCCUUCCUCAGACACCAUAAGAUUCAUCUCUGAUCUCAGCGAUCAUUCYUCCCCUGUUCAUUCCAUCCUYUCCAGGUGCYCAACCUUUAUCUAKCCCAGAGGAAAGAAGGCYAACCCUCUCAACAGAAUAUGAAUUCUGGGUAUUUCCAUAGRCUAUUGUUCAGAAAUCUGUUWWGUUAACUGACGAUAAGCUUAAAACUAGCAUCUUYAUGAUCUCUCAUGARCCAUAUCUCAGGAUAAGUCAUAUUUUGUCUGUCUCGGUAGUGGUUUUCUGUAAUAUUAUCACAAAAGACUGACUACAUGUUUUGUUGCAUUCUGUAAUUGGUGCAUCCMUUUUUGGAUUUAKAAUUCAUUUACAUCUACAUAKUGUUUAUUAAAAAAUAUAUAAUUYGUCUCAUGGGUUUAGUUCAACUGUCGUACACCAUCAGAACCCAAAAUAAGCGUGUUUUACUCUGUAAACAAUGUAUACUGAACAAAAAUAUAAACAACCAUUUCAAAGAU